rnacentral:rRNA from 1 species
GACAAACAGAUCAAAUUAAAAUUAAUGAUAGUAAAAAAGGAGGUUAUAGAUUUAUUUCGAGAAAUAAUGCUCUUUAGAGAGGUGAAAUUUAGAUAAAGAGAGGUAAAUUGGGUUUUUCUUUUUUUGACGCCUCGAAAUUUUGUUAUGAGACCGGGAUUAGAUACCCCGUUAUUCAAAAUGUAAACUUUGAUUGUAUUUAUGAUUUACUUGAGUAUUACGAGUAUAAAAGAUUUGUCUUAUAUAUUUCUUAAAACUCAAAAAACUUGGCGGUGCCUAUAUCCUUCCAGGGGAACCUGUCCUAUAAUCGAUAGUCCUCGAUUUAACUUUCUUUCUUUUGAAUUUUGUUAUCAGCUUGUAUACCGUCGUCGUCAGGUUACCUUUAAGAGUUAUGAAGUUAUCAGUGAGAACUAGGAGAAAUUUAAAUUUAUAUACUAUAUAAGUUAUGAAUUGAUUUAUGUGAGUUCUAGACGUCAGAUCAAGGUGCAGCUUAUAGGGAAGUAGAGAUGGGUUACAAUAAUGAAUUAUUAUACGAAUUUUUGUUGUAAGUAGCAAAAUUGAAGGAGGACUUGGAAGUAAUUGGUUUAAAGAUAAGAGAGCUUAGAUGAA